UCCGCCUUCUUCAUCAAAUUCCACUCUGUGCGCUCUGACCGGGAGUAACCUUUAAUUUCCAUCACAGACCGGCCCCAGCACGCGCCACCUCAACGAGUCCAAUCAAAAGCCAGGGAAUGCCUCCUGUGCAAUAAUACCAUGACGACGCGCCUGUCACUUCCGAGCUGCGAGCGCGACCAAUAUAAGCAGACAGACGAUGAGGGAAUUCAAUUGCAAUUCGUGUAAUUGAAUACCCAAUUCAUGAAAUAAAAGAACGCAUUCCCUUUCGUCGCUGAUACACCAGGUGUUUUAUCCAAGGAGCUUUCUUCUGUGGCAUUAGCAUUCUUCUGUGGAGUGUUCAUCUGUGGAGCAUUCUUCUGUGGAGCAUUCUUCUGUGGAGCAUUCUUCUUAUGUAAUAGGUUUCAGAGGGAGUAAGGUGUUGCUGCCAUUGUCAUCAGAUAAACACACAAGGGCAGAAGAAGAAGGACCAGGAAAUGAAUACCUUGCCCUGUCAGUGGCAGCAGGAUUCAUUCUCUCUCCAACCAAUCACACCUUAGACUUAGAGGAGCUGUCCUGGUGAUAAACUACCUGCUCAGAGCAUAAACCCUGGGACCCUACCUUGGGUUCUAAAGUGAAAUAACUUAUCCCCCCGCA
rnacentral:lncRNA from 1 species